ACGGUCCUACGGGGCGCAGCAGUCGAGAAUCAUUCACAAUGGGGGAAACCCUGAUGGUGCGACGCCGCGUGGGGGAAUGAAGGUCUUCGGAUUGUAAACCCCUGUCAUGUGGGAGCAAAUUAAAAAGAUAGUACCACAAGAGGAAGAGACGGCUAACUCUGUGCCAGCAGCCGCGGUAAUACAGAGGUCUCAAGCGUUGUUCGGCAUCACUGGGCGUAAAGCGUGCGUCGGCUGUUUCGUAAGUCGUGUGUGAAAGUCGCGGGCUCAACCCGCGGACGGCACAUGAUACUGCGAG
rnacentral:rRNA from 1 species